rnacentral:rRNA from 1 species
GAUGAACGCUAGCGGCAGGCCUAAUACAUGCAAGUCGAACGGGAUCUGAGGGUAGCUUGCUACCCGAUUUGAGAGUGGCGCACGGGUGCGUAACGCGUGAGCAACCUACCCAUAUCAGGGGGAUAGCCCGGAGAAAUUCGGAUUAAUACCGCAUAAGAAUGUAUUAACACAUGUUAAAGCAUUUAAAUAUUUAUAGGAUAUGGAUGGGCUCGCGUGACAUUAGCUAGUUGGUGAGGUAACGGCUCACCAAGGCGACGAUGUCUAGGGGCUCUGGGAGGGGAAUCCCCCACACUGGUACUGAGACACGGACCAGACUCCUACGGGAGGCAGCAGUAAGGAAUAUUGGUCAAUGGGCGAAAGCCUGAACCAGCCAUGCCGCGUGCAGGAUGACUGCCCUAUGGGUUGUAAACUGCUUUUGUCGAGGAAUAAACCUAUCUACGUGUAGCUAGUUGAACGUACUCGAAGAAUAAGGAUCGGCUAACUCCGUGCCAGCCGCCGCGGUAA